rnacentral:rRNA from 1 species
GACGAACGCUGGCGGCGUGCUUAACACAUGCAAGUCGAACGAUGAAGAAAAGAAUCGAAGCUUCGGCAGAAAUUCAUUUCGGAUUAGUGGCAGACGGGUGAGUAACGCGUGAGCAACCUACCUCUUACAAAGGGAUAGCCUCGGGAAACCGGGAUUAAUACCAUAUAACAUUGUGACGAAGCAUUUCGAUGCAAUCAAAGCUACGGCGGUAAGAGAUGGGCUCGCGUCCCAUUAACCGGAUGGUGAGGUAACGGCUCACCAUAGUGACGAUGGGUAACCGGCCUGGGAGGGUGAACGGUCACACUGGAACUGAGACACGGCCCAGACUCCUACGGGAGGCAGCAGUGGGGAAUAUUGCACAAUGGAGGGAACUCUGAUGCAGCGACGCCGGGUGAGUGAUGAAGGAAUUCGUUUCGUAAAACUCUUUUUUAGGGGAAGAAAAGGCCUGUACCAAAGGAGAAAGCUCCGGCUAAAUACGU